rnacentral:rRNA from 1 species
GAUGAACGCUGGCGGCGUGCCUAAUACAUGCAAGUCGAGCGAACAGACGAGGAGCUUGCUCCUCUGACGUUAGCGGCGGACGGGUGAGUAAAACGUGGAUAACCUACCUAUAAGACUGGGAUAACUUCGGGAAACCGGAGCUAAUACCGGAUAAUAUAUUGAACCGCAUGGUUCAAUAGUGAAAGACGGUUUUGCUGUCACUUAUAGAUGGAUCCGCGCCGCAUUAGCUAGUUGGUAAGGUAACGGCUUACCAAGGCAACGAUGCGUAGCCGAACUGAGAGGGUGAUCGGCCACACUGGAACUGAGACACGGUCCAGACUCCUCCGGGAGGCAGCAGUAGGGAAUCUUCCGCAAUGGGCGAAAGCCUGACGGAGCAACGCCGCGUGAGUGAUGAAGGUCUUCGGAUCGUAAAACUCUGUUAUUAGGGAAGAACAAAUGUGUAAGUAACUAUGCACGUCUUGACGGUACCUUAUCAGAAAGCCACGGCUAACUACGUG